GAACUUUUGGUGUCGGAGUUACUAUUCACGUAUACGACACUAUUCACGUAUACUGUACUAUUCACGAAUAUGGCACUAUUCAUCGAAAAAUGAAAAAUUUUCUUUUCGUCCAAAAUAUCUAUUGUGGAUACUAGCUUUGAUUGUAUCCAUGUUUUGAUCAUUCUUGAAUUUUACACCACUAUGAUUAUUUUUGAGGUAUUUUUGGACGUGGAUAAAACGAAGUACGAAUCCUUAAUCCUUAAUCCUUGUCAUUUUGUUUCACUGGAUUCGUUUCUUUUAAAAAAUAUAUAUAUAUAUUUUUCAUCAUCCUCAGUCUUAAAUGAUGAUAUUAUUGAAUAUCUUUGGCCUGUAGUGCAAAGAUGAAUGAUUUCUAAUGAAUAUCUUUGGCCUGUAGUGCAAAGAUGAAUGAUUUCUGAUGAAUAUCUUUGGCCCGUAGUGCAAAGAUGAACAGGUGUUUAGAUGAACAUGACCAACUGGUGAAUGUCCUUGGCAUGUAGUGCAAGGAUGAAUAUAUGAUUCCAGAUAUAUAUUGAUUGAUGUUACAGGGAUAAAAAUAUUG
rnacentral:lncRNA from 1 species